rnacentral:rRNA from 1 species
GGCAGGUCAGCAUACUGCCGUGAAUACGUUCCCGGGCCUUGUACACACCGCCCGUCACACCAUGAGAGUUGGGAAUACCCGAAGCCUGUGAGCUAACAUUUAUGAGGCAGCAGUCGAAGGUAGAAUCAAUGAUUGGGGUGAAGUCGUAACAAGGUAAC